rnacentral:rRNA from 1 species
GACGAACGCUGGCGGCGUGCUUAACACAUGCAAGUCGAACGGAAAGGCCCUGCUUUUGUGGGGUGCUCGAGUGGCGAACGGGUGAGUAACACGUGAGUAACCUGCCCUUGACUUUGGGAUAACUUCAGGAAACUGGGGCUAAUACCGGAUAGGAGCUCCUGCUGCAUGGUGGGGGUUGGAAAGUUUCGGCGGUUGGGGAUGGACUCGCGGCUUAUCAGCUUGUUGGUGGGGUAGUGGCUUACCAAGGCUUUGACGGGUAGCCGGCCUGAGAGGGUGACCGGCCACAUUGGGACUGAGAUACGGCCCAGACUCCUACGGGAGGCAGCAGUGGGGAAUAUUGCACAAUGGGCGGAAGCCUGAUGCAGCAACGCCGCGUGCGGGAUGACGGCCUUCGGGUUGUAAACCGCUUUCGCCUGUGACGAAGCGUGAGUGACGGUAAUGGGUAAAGAAGCACCGGCUAACUACGUGCCAGCAGCCGCGGUGAUACGUAGGGUGCGAGCGUUGUCCGGAUUUAUCGGGCGUAAAGGGCUCGUAGGUGGUUGAUCGCGUCGGAAGUGUAAUCUUGGGGCUUAACCCUGAGCGUGCUUUCGAUACGGGUUGACUUGAGGAAGGUAGGGGAGAAUGGAAUUCCUGGUGGAGCGGUGGAAUGCGCAGAUAUCAGGAGGAACACCAGUGGCGAAGGCGGUUCUCUGGGCCUUUCCUGACGCUGAGGAGCGAAAGCGUGGGGAGCGAACAGGCUUAGAUACCCUGGUAGUCCACGCUGUAAACGGUGGGUACUAGGUGUGGGGUCCAUUCCACGGGUUCCGUGCCGUAGCUAACGCUUUAAGUACCCCGCCUGGGGAGUACGGCCGCAAGGCUAAAACUCAAAGGAAUUGACGGGGCCCCGCACAAGCGGCGGAGCAUGCGGAUUAAUUCGAUGCAACGCGUAGAACCUUACCUGGGUUUGACAUGGAUCGGGAGUGCUCAGAGAUGGGUGUGCCUCUUUUGGGGUCGGUUCACAGGUGGUGCAUGGCUGUCGUUAGCUCGUGUCGUGAGAUGUUGGGUUAAGUCCCGCAACGAGCGCAACCCUUGUUCACUGUUGCCAGCACGUUAUGGUGGGGACUCAGUGGAGACCGCCGGGGUCAACUCGGAGGAAGGUGGGGAUGACGUCAAGUCAUCAUGCCCCUUAUGUCCAGGGCUUCACGCAUGCUACAAUGGCUGGUACAGAGAGUGGCGAGCCUGUGAGGGUGAGCGAAUCUCGGAAAGCCGGUCUCAGUUCGGAUUGGGGUCUGCAACUCGACCUCAUGAAGUCGGAGUCGCUAGUAAUCGCAGAUCAGCAACGCUGCGGUGAAUACGUUCCCGGGGCU